GAGUGUAUAGCUUAGUAGGUUAAAGCAAUAAAUUUUUAAUUUAAAGAUUUUAGGUUCGAGUCCUAAUACACUCA
rnacentral:tRNA from 1 species